GACGAACGCUGGCGGCGUGCCUAAUACAUGCAAGUCGAGCGAAUUGACGAAGAAAGCUUGCUUUCUUCUGAUGUUAGCGGCGGACGGGUGAGUAACACGUGGGCAACCUGCCCUUUAGUUUGGGAUAACUUCGGGAAACCGGAGCUAAUACCGAAUAAUACUCUUUGACUCAUGUCAGAAAGUUGAAAGAUGGUUUCGGCUGUCGCUAAAGGAUGGGCCCGCGGUGCAUUAGCUAGUUGGUGAGGUAACGGCUCACCAAGGCAACGAUGCAUAGCCGACCUGAGAGGGUGAUCGGCCACACUGGGACUGAGACACGGCCCAGACUCCUACGGGAGGCUG
rnacentral:rRNA from 1 species